rnacentral:rRNA from 1 species
GACGAACGCUGGCGGCGUGCUUAACACAUGCAAGUCGAACGGAAAGGCCCUGCGUUUGUGGGGUGCUCGAGUGGCGAAAGGGGGAGUAACACGUGAGUAACCUGCCCUUGACUUUGGGAUAACUUCAGGAAACUGGGGCGAAUACCGGAUAGGAGCUCCGGCUGCAUGGGGGGGGUUGGAAAGUUUCGGCGGUUGGGGAUGGACUCGCGGUUUAGCAGCUUGUUGGUGGGGUAGUGGCUUACCAAGGCUUUGACGGGUAGCCGGCCUGAGAGGGUGACCGGCCACAUUGGGCCUGAGAUACGGCCCAGACUCCUACGGGAGGCAGCAGUGGGGCAUAUUGCACAAUGGGCGGAAGCCUGAUGCAGCAACGCCGCGUGCGGGAUGACGGCCUUCGGGUUGUAACCCGCUUUCGCCUGUGACGAAGAGUGAGUGACGGUAAUGUGUAAAGAAGCACCGGCUAACUACGUG